ACCAACACCUGCAAUAUAGAUUGACAAAUCGUAGCGGCGAUUACAUCUCAUCAGAAUCGGAUACUUCGAAACUUCUUUGGUCAUAUCCAGAAGGCUUACGAAAGAUUCUUA